rnacentral:lncRNA from 1 species
CCUGCAGCCAGCAAUUGGCAAAUUUGAAUCUCAAUCCUUCCCUUGGUCAAACCCAGUGAUCCCGCCGUCGUAGCCCCUACCCUACUGCCUGUUGCCGAGGACGCCUAGCCUCUCCAUCUCCAGUUUUCGCCACCCUUCACUAUUGUGAGUUUGCUCGACUGCUCCUCUCUUUUCUUUUUUUCAUUUUCGUUCGCUCAAAAUUUAGUUAAUUUUUUGAUUUGUCUUUUAUGAUUUUUGUUUUAUGAAUUAUGUUUAUGAGUUACGGAUAUGUUUGUGAGCCUAUAGUGUAAACUCUUGACUGUGAGGAUUUUGAUUUUUAUGAGUUUGAGAAUUGGGGAUUUUGCGAAUAUUAGAGAAUAUUGGGGAUUUUUUUUUCUACUUGACCGACUGGUUGAGAAAUUUUUUGUACCUGGUAAAAGAUCAUGGCAUUUGUUAGGUGUUUAAAAGUGCUAUGAUGGAUUGAAGUAAUGAAUAGUGAUGUCUUGCUAUCAUGUGAUUUUGGGAAUUAUAGAGAAUGCAAGAUGCAUCACAAGAGAUCAAAAGGGUAAGGGCACAGAUUGAAGAAAAUGAGCAAUUGUCUAUAUUUAUGAAGAGACUUCGGGGUCAAAAUUUGAAAGACACAUAGUUUGUUGAUGACAAUAACAAACUUUGGUUAGCUGAGGUCAGUAGUGUGACUUUCAUUUUGUCAAAUGUUGCUUCUAAAAUACCUUGUUAGGUGUCUCACUUGCGCGUUGCGUUUUCUCUGUUCUUUGUCUUUUCCUUUUCUUCUCUUCCCAACUUAGAAAUUACCUGGAUUUUCAAGUUUUGCUAAUGGGAAGAUUGUUAAAAUGUGAGGUUUUCUUAAAUACAACUUCCAUUAUGGUCCACCUAUAUUUCAAGUUGUGUGUUUUAUGAGAGUACUAUACUAGUUACCGUCUAAAUUUUUGGAUUCACUUCAUUCUAGGUGGUAAGUGAAACCUUUAGGUUUCCUUUAUAUUCAAUUUCCAAAAAGGAAGUUUGGUGUAUCUGUGUUGUAUAUAAUUUUUACGUUUUAGUGCAUUUACAUAUAGAUUGAAGAAUUUUUAAUAUUAUUUAAUUAAAUAUUAAUAAAAGACCUUGCUAUUACAGUCGCAACAAUCAAUGGUCAACCACCGCCCUAGCUGAGCUUCAAUUCUAGAUUCGCCACUCGUUCUACAAUAUUUUCCUUAGAACUAGAGGAAAUUAUUAUGUCAUGGAACCUAAGAUACCAUUACCAAGAAGCUUGUUUCUGUCCCAUGUCGUUUUCUAUUUUUUUUUUUAAUUUUUUUUUUCGAGUUUACAUCAUGCAUUCCAUUCUCUUAACUAAAAAAGCUUCAUCUUGGUUCAUAGAAACUUCUUCCUCUAAAUUCCCAGCAAGAGAGGAGGUUUUACAUCCAUUUGUGUAACUCUAGAUCGUAUUCAGCUACUAACGCCAGAAUAAUUAUAAGAGAGUUCUUUUUAAAAACUGGUAGAAAAGUCUCUUUGUAAUUGUUGCACUUUUUCUGAAUAAAACCUGUUUCUACAAAUUUAGUUCCAAUAUUUCCCUUUGCAUUGCGCUUGGUCUUAAAGACAUUUACACUUGAUCUUCUUACAACCUACAUGCAACUCAACAAGGUUCCAAACUUGACUUAGAUCCAUUUAACUUUGCUCUUCUUCGAUGAAACCAAUCAUAUAAAAGAACUAACACUUUCAAUGACUUGAUAAAAUGAUUUUUAUUUUUUUAUUUUUUUCUCUUCGAGAUCUUCUUAAUUUAUUCCUUAUGGCUCCACUAUUGUUGAUUCAUUAUUGAGUGUUCAAUCUUUUAAUUGUUAUCCUUGAGCAUUAUUUGGUUGUAACAUCAUCUUGGGAACAACCACGCUAGAAGUCGUGGGUAAAACAACCUUUAUCAUAACUUCUUGAAUAACUACUUUUUAUGGCUCUCUGAUGUGAUAUCUACACCUAUCCAAGCCAUCAAAAAUGAAUAUUUAAUUGUCAAUUUGAUAAAAUUAUUGUCGAAUUUGGUUAUAUAUUAAAAAGUUUACAUGAACAAAAUGAAAUUGUCUCUUUUUUCUUUCGAGACACUUUUUGAAUUAAUUGAAUAUAAGAAAAUUUUCCUUUUCUUUCUCAAAUUCUUUAAGAAAAUCAACUGAAACACGAAUUCUGACCUAAAUCUUGGCUCUAUAAUUACCAAACUAUAAUCUAAUAACUAAAGACACUUCUUAUACAAUAGAAUACACACUUUGUUGCAAUCAAAAGAGGCAAAAAUCAUUCUUUCAAGGAGAAUUAAGGGGAAAUUUAUAAGGGAUUCAUUCUUGAAUCAUCUUUCUUGGUGCCUGGGCACGAAAGAAGAAGGUGCAAUUGAAUAUUGAUCAAGUUAGCUUGACGAUAUUCAAGAAUUCACCGCUUCUCCACUUUUUUCAAAUUCGAGUGAUGUUUAGUUAAUCCUAAUGAUUUCUUGUAAUUUUGUGAUACUUGGCUAAAUUUUUAGUCAUUACAUUAUGAUAUUUUAAUAUUAUUUGCAGAGGACUCGACACGUGUCGUGUGCCGAUGAUAGUUACCAGCUGAACACCGGACCUACUAUCAAGGUAACCUUGACUUAUUUGACUGGAAAAUAUUUUUAACAAAAUUGUCAAAGCUUCCUCUGAAAUAUGAACUAAAAUCACCUGAACAAUAACCAAUUUUCCUCAAAUUAAUACCUAUAAUAUGAAUAGGUAAGACAGUCCCUCAAAAUACAAACUAUUCAAAUAAAAUGUUGGCAUAUCGACAUUUACUUGCUUUACGCUCAACAAUCCUCAAAUAUUUUAAAGAUACCAAUUAUCUAAUGAGCCCAUAAUGAACUUUUCUGAUUUAAGCUACAUGUAUCCCAAAAGAACAUAUUACGCGUGGCUCAAUUUGGUUGUUCGACAGGCUCCAAAGUUGCUCAAAUCAGUUGCUAUCUGUCUGAUAAAGAGAAAAGGUGAAAAAAUAUAUGAGUUUAAAGCACAGUGAGUGGAUAAUUUUCAAAUUAAUAAACAUUUCUCAUUUCUACAUAUUUUUUGAAAAUUCUUCCACUUCUAAAACUUCUAAAAAUUCUAAAAUCUAGUAAAACUUUUAAUCAAACAUGAAUAUUUCAUAAAAUUCUUUGUUCUUCAUUUUAGAUAAGUAACUGUAAAAUGUAACGAAUAUAAAUAAUAUGACAUCCGUGAAAAUUUGUGAAGUAUUGCUGCUGCUCAAUACUAUAAACUGAAAGUUUUAAUCUGAAAACUGAAUAGAUUGAAUUCUAUAAUCUGAAAUCUAAUAAACUUUAGAAAUACUGAAAAAUCACAUAAAAAAGGUACCCAAUGAAUAGUCUUACUCACGUACAGAGUAAUCUCGAUGUACAAGGAAAAGACAUUUAAUUCUGUAAUUCUGAAAUUCUAUAAUUCUAAUCAUACGCGCGCAGAAUUGAUAUUCUGUAAUUCUGGUCAUACACUAUGGAAAUACAUUCACAAUAGUGCAGAGCAGAUAAAAUCAAACAUAAUUGGUCAUAUACUGUUAAAAAAACAUUCACACCAGUGCACACAAUGAUAAAAUCACCUGAGUACUUUCUGGUGAUUUUAAAUAAUAACUUUAAAUAUGCUAAAAUAUUUAAUACUGAAAUAAUAUGUCAAGAAAUAAUUUAACUAAAAUGAAUUUAACUUUUAUAAACAUUUGAUAAUAAAAUUCGUUUUAUUCUGAAAAAUCAUGCUAUCAACUCAACUUAUAAAAUACGUAACUUCAAAAUUCAAUAAAUAAUUAUUUCUGAAAAAUAAGUUUUAUUGGAAACUCACCAAGUCAUAGUUGAUCAUUGUUUUGAUCUUCUUGUCGCCUCCUCACUUUCAAUACCAAGAAGGUUAUCACGCUCUCGCUAUAAUAAAUCCUAUCUCUUCAUAGAGGAGCCUUGAGUAUUUUUCUGCCAUUUGAAAUAUUAAUUUACCAAUGGGAACUUGAUAUAUUUUAUUUUCAAUUUCAUAAUCCCAAUUAAGGUCACUAACAAUAUAUACUCCUUCAUAUAAAUUAUUUUAACACCAAAACCCUAAAUAUUCAACACUUAAUUUGGUUUCAAAUAUUAAAAAUUCACCAAAAUUAGAUGAUUGACAAAACUAGUACUAUAAUUCUAGAAUAUUGAAAACUAGCAACAAUGUCUACAUACUAAAAUCUGUCACCGAAAUCAUGGACAGAAAUAGCACUUAUUCGGGCAGAUUUUCAAAAAUAGCACUUAGACUACAAUAGCUCGAAAAUGGCUGAAAAUUAGAGAAUUUCAACUUCAAAUCCUUAAUUUAAGUGUUUAACACUAUAUAAUCACAAGAAUUUUAAAGAAUAUGCUUUUAUUUUACAAACCCAUUUCCAAAGUUUCCACUUUCUUCAACAUCAAUAUCCAAAUAAAUAUUUCUUUGCUAUAUCCUUAUUUAUAACAUUAAAUACACAUCAAUAACACAUUAUUCUUGCCAACCUUUUAAUUAAAGCAAAUUUCCCAUAACCCUUAAUAAUUUAAUUCAAUAUACUUUAUACUUACCAUGCUAAAUCAAAGAGAAAUUGAAAAACUUGAAAACCUUAGCUUGAAACCAUUUACUUUCUUUCUUCUUCUUUCUUCCCUUCUCUUUUCUUCUCUCUCGGGUUCUCUCGAGCCUUUUCUCAUUUUUCCCCCAAAAUUCGAGAAAAUGGUUAAUAUAGAUGAUAUUUAAUGGAUAAUUAUUGAAGAAUUGCAAGUCAAGUCCCUCCUUUUAUGUUUUAAAGGAAGUCUAAUCAUUAACUUUCCAUUCUUGUAAAAUAAAUCCUCAAAUUUAAAUGAUGUCCAUGUUAAACCCUCAAGUAUUGUCAAUUUGUAAAAUAACCCCAAUAGAAUAAUUUACUUCAUUAAAGUCCUUAUUUGACUUUGACUUUGACUAGUCAAUUGGGUUGUAUUGUUUAUCGUGGAUUAUUGUUAUAGAACUUGUUGUUUUUCAUUAAUUAGAUUUUAAUUGAAUUGAUAUACUAUCUUUAUUAUAUUUGAGAUAAUUAACAAGGAAUAUAGCAUGUAUAGCAACUUUUUUGAGAUCCGAUAAGGAAUAGAAAUAUACUACUAUAUCUUACAUGAUUUAGUUAAGACUUUCGUGACAUUAAUGUAUUAUUUCAUGUUCGCAUCUUCCAUAGUUAUAUAGGAAAGUCACAUGUGAGAUAUGUUUAACUCAAUUCGAAAGAAAUUAUUAAAUAAAAUAGGAAUAUUAAUCAACAAUUAUAAACGAUUUUGUCAUGGUUAUGAAUUAUAUUAAAAUGGAUUAAUAAACAAGUUUUUUUUUUUUUUUUAAAUUAUCUCUUUCAAGAUUUUGUAUGAAAAGUUCGAGAUAAUGUGAUCUUACUCCAUUUAAUCAAGAAAUUGAGUAGGCAUUCAUGUUGAAACGAAAAGUACAGAAGUAACACCAAAACAACAACAAAAUAAAUAGCACAUCCAGGUGUCAUGAUAAUCAAUAAAAUCGUAUAAAAUAUGGUUAAUGUGAUUGUUAAUUAGAAUGGGAGUCUUAUUAGUGAAUAUUUGGUUGUGCCAGUUGUCAAAAAUCAGUCAAGCGUGGCAUAUCCAACAUUUGGGCAAGCAAAUUUCCACUUGAGGACAUAUGUAAUCAAUAGUUCCAAAAUGCCUUGCAGUUCUUUGGAAGAUCAAACACAAAUAUGAAUAUUUAUAUUUCGAGGUUUUUGGAUAUAGGGAAAAUUGUAGUAGCAGUACUUAACCUUUUUAUUUUUUGCAGACUUUAUCCUAAAUUUUAUUAUGUGCCAGUGAAGGUCCUUAACCUUUCAUAAAUAUGUGCAUGAGGUCCAAAUGAAUGAAAAUCGUGAUCGAAAAAAUUCUUUGAACUACUUGCUAUUGCUACGAUUUUAUUAGAUGUUGAUACCUUUUUAGAUGGUAUUUUUGGAGUGUGUUUCAGACAGCUUUAUUGAAUGUCGAUUCCUUAAUUUUCCAUGUCAACUAAUAAUGUUUUGGACGGUUUCCGUCUAGAUGGAUUUCAGGUGCAUAUUUAUGAAAGGUUAGAAACUUCCAAUGGCAUAAAAUGAAGGUUAAGGUAGGGAUGUCAAUGAGCCGAGCCGAGUCGGCUUGAGUAAAAUGAAAUGGGCUUUUUUCGAGCCCGACCCGAGCAAAAGCUCGACGAAAAAUAAAGACUUGAUCCGAGCUUUCGGCUUGAGCCUUAGCGAGCUAAGCUGGGCCGGCUAGAUUUUUUCUCUCUUUUUUUCUUUCUUUUUUUUUUUUAAAUAAUUAAUAAGGUAGCUAGCUGUUGCCUUGCCUUAAAAUAAGGCAGUAGCUUGCUGCCUUAAGCUGCUGCCUUAUUUGGUUGCCUUUUUUUAACAUUUUGUGGAUUUUUUUUUUUUUUUUUUGCUUUUUUUUUUUUUUUUUUAAGUCUCUGGCCGGCUCGGGCUAAGCUCGGAACAUAAAAAUUGGGGCUCGACCCAAGCCAGCUUGAGCUUUUUCCGGGUCGAGCCACGGGGGGCUCGAGCCGGUGAGCCCAGUUGACAUCCAUAGGUUAGGGUAAAGUUUGCAAAAAAUGAAAAUAUUAGGGAUCUCUGUUGCAAUUUUUCCCUAGAUAUAUGGGGGCACUAUUGAACAUUGGAUGUUUCAAGUGAUGCAAUACGGUUGAGAUUAUUUCUAUGCACAUUGUGAGACUUGACUAGAUAGUUGUUGGAUACAUUCUUAACUGACUACAUUACCACGUGGAAUAGUUUAUGCCAAAAAAUUUUAACAAAUUUUUCCCCUCGGAAAAAAGAAAAAAAGAAAUCACCAUAUUUUCGUAGUUUGAUUUGGAAUUUUAUUAAGAGGUACGGGAAAGAUACAAGGGAUUGCUCGCUAGUGCCCACAACAUAGUUUGCAGAUAUAAGUGUUUUAGAAGCUGAAAUAAUUGAGGAUCUACCUUUGAAAGUACAUACUCUGUUCCAGUAAACAUGCCUCCAAUUCUAUAUCAUCGAAGAUUUCGAAAAAGGACGGAAUUGAAAGUGGUUCAGGCAAUUGCUACACCGAGUGGAGUUCAACUUCCAAAAUUACAGUUUAAGAUCAAGAAAAAUAAUCUGAUUUUUUAUUUAUUUAUUUAUUUUUUCCAAAUUUUGGCUUGGAGAAGAAGAUUCUUGAUGCGAGAUCUUAUUAUUUUAUUCAUCUUUGUUUUCAAAAUUCAGUACUGAACUCUAUUCUUUUAAUUAUUUUCUUUCAUUUGUUUGAGUAUCUAAAUUCUUAGGAAAAAUGAUAUAAAC